ensembl:lncRNA
CCUUCCUCCCUCCUCUUCUUCAUCUUCUAGUAAGAGUAUUCCAAGAGCUAGUUAUCCAGGGAAUGUGCCGCUGUCCAAGGAUGCUGUCUAGCCCUUGGGUUACCUCUUCCUUUCCUGCCUUCCCUGAGAAGGGGGGUAUUUUGUUUUCAUACUUGCUGCCUCAUGGCCCCUGUCAUGAUUGCCACACCUCUGUGUAUUAGGUUCUUUACUAGGGUAUGAAGAAAAAGGAAAAUUAAGGAAGCAAAUGGUCUGGUCAUCAAGCCUGUUUUCUGUGUCAGGAAGACAAAACCUUUCCUUAAAGUCUAUGCAGAUUUUUGCUUGCAUUUCCAUAAGCCAGAAACAAGUUGUAUGACCAUUACUAAACAAGUUGUUAGUGAAUAGAAACAGUGUUAUCAAGAUUCACACCAAAGGCUCAGUGAUGGCCGCCUUUGUGGCAGGAGAACAAAACAAAUAGAAGAAUAAAACAGAGAGGACUUAGCAGGGAAGAACAGGAUGGAGUUGAUGAGAAGGAACUCAUUAGGAAGAAGACAUCACCACAGACUUUGUAGAAGAUGGGAUCAUGUUGCCCCAGAAAGAGGCUUUUGUUUGCUGAUACCCAUUCCUCUGGCCCAAAGAGUAACUCACCAGGGCUAGAGCAUUCAUAAUGUUCCACAAUGAGAAGAAAAAUGUGCAGUGUGACUCUGUGAUGCCUGGAGCUGAUGCAGCCGUGUUGCCCCCGUGAGGAAUCCAGGUUGGAGAUGUAGACAGAGGACCUAUGCAUAGAUGAAGGGACAGAAUUGGAGCUGAGACCUUGAUUUAAAUAUAAGCAUGGCACACAUGACUUCUAGACUUUUUUCAGUCACAAAAGUUAGCUAACACAGUCUAAGAGUUGUGCAAAUGAGCUUAUCAAGUAGCCAGAAGAAUAGUAACCAUCAGAGAUGAAGUAGGAAGUCAGCCCAAAGGGUGCAGAAGGACCGUGUAGUUUUGAAGAACUGUGUUGGGCCAGAUUUGAUCAACACUCUUUGGCUUGACUUGAUCUGACAUGCUGAUGUGCAAUAUGAUUCUCUGAUGCUUCCAGCAGAGAGAUCCACAGCGUUCCAGAACCCUCUCAUCAUGGGGCAGACUGUUGGCCAGCCUGACGCUUGCCCUGUGAGCUUCAGGCCUGCACCAAGGUCAGUCUUAGCAUUCCCAUGGACAGAGGCUGUAGGCGUCACAGGAAGGAGGCAAUGUUUUGGUUCCUCAAAUGCUUCCCCAGUGGCUUCUGAGCUUCCUCCUGGGGGAGGCCCUGUGUCAGCAGACAAGGGUGGCAGCUGAUUAGAAGAAGACAAGAAAGAAACCCCAAUUAUUUUAGUUCCACCUGUGUGUGCAUGGCCUGGGAAGGAUGCACUGGCCCUGGAGUUGGCAGAUGAGUGGGAUCUGGCCACCAAGUAAUGUGAGGACUCUCUAUGGGAGGAGCAGGAAGUCUUCCCUUCUGCUUCUGGGAGAGUGCGUGGGAGGGCAGAGAGGAGUCCAGGCUUCCUGGGGCUGUGAAGAAAGACAAGGAAGCAGGUGCAGAAUCUGUCCUACAGGAAUCAUGACACUGAUCUGAGCUGUGGAUAACUCUGGAAGAAUGUGGAAGGAGAGAGGACCGUGAACUUGGAGUAUUUACUCCUAGUCUACGAAUGCCAGGUCAUCUUGGGAUUGCCAGGUCCUCCACUGAACCCCAGCUCUGUUGGGAGUCGUUAUCUAUCUGCCUACGAUGGGCUUUUCUUUCCUCUCACUGUGAACUGAGGGUCCUGAGGAGUGCUUUGUGCUCUCCUGUAGCCUUGUCUUUCUUUGUGAGUAAUCCCUCUACUAAACCCUAAUCAAAUUGCCCGACACAGGGCCGGCUGCUCCUGCAGUGCUUUGACGACCAACUGCUGUUUUGAGCCACCAGGUCCAGGUUUGAAUUCUGAUCAGGUCUCUUCCCCGGUGACAUCACAGAACCUCACCAGGUCCCUGGAUUUCUCUUGUACAGAGAUUGGAGCAGAAACAACAUCCAGAAGAGGACAUCUUUUAACGGCAGUGCAAACCAGUGGGUUCAGGAACUAAGUCAUUUUCUGUUAAUUAUUAUGGUCCCCUCCCUGGAGCCUCAUGGAGUCCCCAGCAUGUACAUGUCUUGAAAAAAGAAUUUGCUGCAAUUACAAUGGAAUAAACGAGCAGCAAAAAAGCUGUAAACAAUGACCAGGGGGCUUAUCCACUUCACAAAAGGGCUGCACUUCAGCUGCAGGAAGCAGCUUUUGUUUGGAAGUCCUCAGUCCUGACAAAGCAGGAGGGUGUGAAUGUCUAUAUUUAUUAAAACAUAUUUAGCUUCUAUUUCUCUUUUCCACACAUGCACUGCACCCUUGAGAGGCAACAAAGAAGGAUGGAAGAACUAUUUAACCCAGGUUCACUCCUAGCUCUAUUGUCCACUGCUUUUUGGUCCUCCGUUUUCUACUCAAUAAAACAGGGGUUGUGAUUUCUACCUUGUCAAGAACCCAACAGAGAAGUCUGAAUCAGUACACUGAGGGUCAUCCAUAGGGAUUGGACACAGCCCCAGAGCUGA